UCUGAGAUAGGAAAUAUAAUCUGAGAUGAUCCCUGUUGCCCAAACUCCCAGGUUAGUGAAUGGGGAGGAAGGAUUCGAAUUCAUUUCUCUGACUCUGAAGCUCCUGCUUUUUGUACCAUAUGUCUCUGUCUCUCCCUAAGGCAUGGAGAGAUUACAACCCUUGUCCAAAGUCACUUCAUCUGGAAGAGGUCAGGCUAAACUGAAGGUACACUGACCCUUGUCUAAGUCUUUCUGGAUCAACUUUCAUUGUAAAUAUUUUCUCCCUGAUUGUGCAACGCUCAGCAGUUACUUACCAGGGCUGCAAAGUGAAGAUAAGCUUGCAAGAGAGGAACCACCCACCUCCCCCGAGUGAACCAUAGGCAAUUUCUGAAUGACUCUCAGGCUGUCAAAGGCAAUUGCCACAAGAGGUCAACGCCAAGGCUGCUCUGCAGAUAUGACCAGGGCUCAUUUUUUCCAUGAUCUUAGAGAAACUGGAUAAGCCCGGGGCAAAUCGGGCCCAGAGAUGAGAUGGUAGGACAUUAUGGCAGGCCCUGAAACCCCAGCGUGCCCCAGCAGAGGCCUGUGGUGGCCUCUGGGGAGGUGGGCGGUGGUGGAGGUCCGUGUGAGAGGGCAGCAGCAGCAGCAGAUUAGGCCCUGUGGAAGCCCACUUCCUUCCAGAGACAGUGCCAGGGGAGGAAGGGUCCAGACUGAGGGCAGGACGGGCCAGGGGGUGUGGCAGGCGGAUGCCCCCCUGGGCAGGUGACCUCAUCCACCCCUCCCGUGUCGCCUCCUCUGAUCUGCUCCCUCUGGAGAUGGGGAAAUCCAGAGUAGGGGCAACAGGAAGUAUAUUCCCAAGAAGACUGUAGACCCCCGCACAGGGAAACGAUGGAGCUCAGGAGGGGCGCUGAUCUCGGGAGCCUGGAUCCACCAGUUAUGCAAGUGAUGAAGUGAGUACGCACGGUCCUCGAGGCCAGGGCCGGCGCAGUAAGAACGAACAGGUUGUUCUGGAAAAUUGUCUGGCAGCCUCCCCGCGGCCUGCCUGCAGGAACUGGCAUCUGUGGAGUACUUUGCCUUGCUUGUUGAUCCACAGCACUUACCACAUCCUGGAGAAACAGGUCAAUACAGGUGGCCCUCAGGAGCCAUGGGCCCCAUGUUUGGAACUCUGACCCACACAGGGGCAACCUGAACUCCUGAGCCAUAGCCAACCCCUCCCACCCGGGGCCUCUGAUGAGCUGGGCCCCCCUGCAAAUAACGUUCCUGUCUGUUUCCAUCUGUGAGCUCCUGCUCGCGAUCUAAGGCCCAGCUGAAAGUGCUUCUUCCUUCCUGGGCCACCUUCCUUUCAUUCUCAGCUUUUCUAAAUUAUGAACAUUUCAAACAUUCCCAAAGGAGAGAGAGUGCACGAUGCACCUGAACCAUAUGUCGCCCAGAAUCCAUGGCUAUCAAGAUCUUACCACAGUUGCUUCAUGGAUCCCUGCCUCUACUUAUUUCUUUCUGAGUUGCUUUAAUGUUUCACGCCACUUUAUAUCUAUGUACUAGAUUUUGCAUCUCUAAAAUAGAGGGGCAUUUUUAUACGUAAUGAUGUUAUGGUCGUCUGGCCUAAAAAUUGCCAACACUUCCUUGCUAUCUAUCAUUCAAUACCCAGUCCAUAUUGAAAUUUCCCUUCUGAAAAUUAAUUUUUGGAAUCAAGUCUACCAUCGGAUUUGGUUGAAUUUCUGAAGGAAGGGGGUCCAUUGCUCUGCCGAAUGUCCCCACAUGGCUUCUGUCUCCAUCCACCACGUAUGUCCAGCUUGCGGCCCUGACUCUAGGUGCCCUCAAUUAUGCCCACUGUGGAAACGGCCUUUCUGCCACAUCUGAAGCUUGAGCCUUGGAGGCAGGCAUGACGUCUCAUCUCUGUGUUCUUUGUGGUUCCCAAGGCAAUGCGUGGUGUAUCCGAAGUGCUCCACUGAGUCUCGAAAACGUCCCUGCAUUGGAGGGAUCAUGGAGUGAAUUUUGUCUUUGCCACUCCACUUACAACUUCAAGUCUGGAGAUUUUGAAACACCCCAUGACUGGGAGUGACCGCUGGCUCGGAGAGGGUGAAGUACAGACAUGAAAGAAGCAAUGCCUGGGAAGGUACUCAAGAAAAAGCAUGAUGUGGUGGGGAAGGGCUGCAGCCCAGCCCUGUGCCUGCAUCCCACGCAUUUCUACUUGAUUCCUUAGCUCCCUAAACCUUGCUUGUCUCAUCUGUAAGGUGGAGAUAAAAAUAACAGUCUUCUUUUAUUAUGUGAGUUGCAAAUGACAGAGUGCAUGUGAAGGCUCCUGGUGCCAAAAAUGUUAGCAGAAUUGAGUGGAAGCAGAGUGAACACUCACUGAGGGCCGGGAGACUUAGGAGGGAGCUGGACCCCCCGGGAUGCUUUGCUGGAUGACCACAGCUUGGGGAGGGGGCUACUGCCUUUGGAGAAUGGCAACACUAUCAUGCAGCUCAGAAGGCUGGAGUCUAAUACCCUGCUCAGCAACCAGGCAUAGUCCAUUCCAUCACAGAGCCUGGGUUCACCUUGAGGACAGUGAGAACUCAGCCCUGGCCAUGUGGAAGUCAAAGCGUGCAGCACCUACGUACAUGGACCUCACCUGUCAUCCAAGUCUCCAAACCACACUGCAAUACAAACAUCGCCAAAGUAGCAGGCUUCUCUCCUCUGGGUGACAUCCACAGGGCAGAUCUGAGCAACACUUAGUGUCUCCUGGGACCUUCCCAGCCUCGGACAGAAUGGUUGUUAGAGGAACAAGGCACCAGGGGCGUGAUGAGAGCUUAGCUGAAAGGAGAGAAGACUCAGCAAGCACAUCACCUUGAAGCUGACCUGUCAGCCAGAUUUCGCAGCACCUGCCUGUUCCAGCCUGAGGGGCUGCGAUUCAUUCCUUGGGAAAGAGAGCUGCAAAUUCCCGCUCUAGGCCACAGUCCAAAUCCUUGCUCUUCUCUCUCAGGUUCUGGAAGACAGAAUGGAGGCAUCUACAGAGCAAGGACAUGUUUUCUACCUGAAUUAGCUUUUCUGACACCUUCAAACCAUCUCUAAGAAAUUGAUUUUUUAACAUACACAUAUACAGGUAAACAUUUAAAUCUGUGCCAUAAUGUAUUUGCACUUCGAGUCCCCCUGAAGUCCUAAGUCACAUGCUUCUCUUCCUAGGGGUUCUGUCUGAAGCAGAGACCCCUGGAUUGGAGCAGUGGGAAGAAUCCUGAUGAAUCAGGUGUUCCUGCCUGUUUACAUUAACUGGGCACCCUGCCUGCCCACCCCACAUGCUGAAUACUGCUGGGGAGAAGAGAAGAAACAUUUAUUAAAGGCAAGGAAAAAUUAGAGCCUUUUCAUUGAGGUCAGAAGAUUUUUGAGGUUGGAUCGGCUGGCCAGGUGCAUGACCAAUUUUCUUGGCUCCUUAGAAGCAGCAAAGUAUUUGAAAAAUAAUGGAGCCCUUCGUCCUACAAGUAAAAGCCCAUUUAUAUUGGGAAUUUUUUAAAAAGUGCUGGCGAUGGAAAAUUUCCGAUGAGAUGCAUUUCUUCCUGCCUGAAUGUCUUGAAUGCCUGCUGGAUUUGUCUCCCUGCUAAGACACUCACACUUGCAAAUCUGUGCUUUUCAAGGUGGGGAGAUGAAAAUAAAAAGUCUGUGAGAUGUAUUUCUGGGAGGCCUGAAAACAGGAAGCAAAUUGGAACCACAGCAUGUGGGGCACGGAUGCUGGAUUCUGGGGGAUAUUUGCUUAUUUGGAAAGGCUGCAAACAUUCCAUCCUACCCACUGCUAGGAGCUCUGCACUUUGCUAACGUCCCAUGGAAACCAAGGUUCUCUUUAGGACUCGACAGGACUGGGUUAUUUUUCUCAGCUUAAAUUGUUUUUAUAUGGUUAUCCUCAGUACUCUUUUCUGUUUUGGGAUAUUUUCAUACUUUUUAUUUUUUAAAAACCCCAGAAUAUCUUGAUUUUGAAAAGGUACAUUCACCCAAAUAAAGUGCCCAGCGCAUAGACAAGGCUGCCUCAAUAUUUCACGUGUCAACAGCCAAUGCCCCCAGUACGUGCAGAAAAGCCUGAGAACAAGGAAGGAAGAAAAGGGUCUGGUCCUUGCUCUGCGGGUAUUUAAGCAUUUCUCAGCCCCCUCCUCUGACUUCUCAACUAUGUUCACCUAUAUGGCCUCGAAUGGAGAGAACUGGGGUUAUAAAAGAGGAUAUUAGCUAUGCCUGCUAUAGAAUGAGGAAGGCAUUUCAGGAUGUGCUUGGGGAGGAGAUGGAAUGAAUGGCAAAGGGGAUGUUUGUCCGUGAGGGUGGUCUGUGAUCUGUGGGUGGGGGAUGUCUGUGCAGCUCCCUUCAUGGCCUCUCAUGGCCCACACAGUAGGCAGUGUUUGCCACACACAGACCCUGGACAAAGUCACAGAGUGGUGUUGGUACCAUUUCA